CAUGUGGUUAUCAACAAUGGAAAAUAAAUGUCUCUAUUUAUCUAGAACAGAACUUCUGUAGACAAUUGGCAAAUCAAUAAAAUAGCGGGUGAUGUCUCAAACGACCUCAAUAUCUUUCAAAAUACAGCUAGAGUAGACAUCAUACAAAAUGAAAUUGCUUUUCAUUACCUCAUGCUUACUUUUUGUGAGUCAUUCGUUUGCUCAAAGCUGCUUAGGGCAGCAGAACGGUAGUACCCAACCAGAUCCAUCCAGGUGCAAUUACUACUAUUUCUGCAAUAGUGGAAAAGCUAUUUCAAUAAGUUGUCCAGCAGGAUUGCAUUACAACGCACAGGAGAAGAUCUGUGAUCGUCCCAGUAGGGCAAGGUGUGUCAGGUGCCCUACCAUCGGUUUCCGUAACAUGCCAGUGGCCGGUGCAUGCAGCAAGUUCAUUCAGUGCUUCCAAGGAGUGGCCACAGAUCGUGAGUGUCCGAAAGGUUUACUCUUUGACCCCCACUACGGACAGUGUAAUCUCCAACACCAUGUGAGAUGUUAAAUGCGCUGUGGGAAUUUCCAUUAAUUAUGGACUUUUUCCAUAUUCAUUUUGAUUUAAAUCCAUAAAGAGAUUAAGAAGCUUAAAACUUUGACCGAUGAAUUGGAUGUAAGAUAAGGAAGCCAGAUGAUGACAAACAAAAACUCCAGUCUGCUCUAGUUGGAUGAAUAAAAUCACAUGUGUGAGGAUUAA